rnacentral:rRNA from 1 species
GUGGGGAAUCUUGCGCAAUGGGCGAAAGCCUGACGCAGCCAUGCCGCGUGAAUGAUGGAGGUCUUAGGAUUGUAAAAUUCUUUCACCGGGGACGAUAAUGACGGUACCCGGAGAAGAAGCCCCGGCUAACUUCGUGCCAGCAGCCGCGGUAAUACGAAGGGGGCUAGCGUUGCUCGGAAUUACUGGGCGUAAAGGGCGCGUAGGCGGAUCGUUAAGUCAGGGGUGAAAUCCCAGAGAUCAACUCUGGAACUGCCCUUGAUACUGGCGAUCUUGAGUGUGAGAGAGGUAUGUGGAACUCCGAGUGUAGAGGUGAAAUUCGUAGAUAUUCGGAAGAACACCAGUGGCGAAGGCGACAUACUGGCUCAUUACUGACGCUGAGGCGCGAAAGCGUGGGGAGCAAACAGGAUUAGAUACCCGUGUAGUCC